rnacentral:rRNA from 1 species
GACGAACGCUGGCGGCGUGCCUAAUACAUGCAAGUCGAGCGAAUGACGAGAAGCUUGCUUCUCUGAUUUAGCGGCGGACGGGUGAGUAACACGUGGGCAACCUGCCCUACAGAUCGGGAUAACUCAGGGAAACCUGGGCUAAUACCGGAUAAUCCUUCGAAUCACAUGUUUUGAAGUUGAAAGGCGCUUCGACGUCACUGUAGGAUGGGCCCGCGGUGCAUUAGCUAGUUGGUGGGGUAACGGCCUACCAAGGCAACGAUGCAUAGCCGACCUGAGAGGGUGAUCGGCCACAUUGGGACUGAGACACGGGCCAAACUCCGACGGGAGGCAGCAGUAGGGAAUCUUCCACAAUGGACGAAAGUCUGAUGGAGCAACGCCGCGUGAGUGAUGAAGGUUUUCGGAUUGUAAAACUCUGUUGUAAGGGAAGAACAAGUACGUUAGGAAAUGAACGUACCUUGACGGUACCUUAUUAGAAAGCCACGGCUAACUACGUGCCAGCCGCCGCCGUAA